CAGUCUCUCAAACCCUAAAAUUCCCCUCUCUCUCUCGCGCCUCUCUCCUCACAGUCUCUCAAACCCUAAAACUCUAUCUCUCUCCUCAAACUCUCUCGCUCUCCUCAAACUCUCUCUCUCUCUCCGGCCACUUCUUUACAGUCGACGAACUCAAUCAGAUCUACGAAUGCGUUCAUCGUUCGUUUCAGAUAACUCGUUUACAUCUCGUUCACCAUCUCUCUCUCUCCGACGGUUCGUUCACCAUCUCAUGCACCGACGGUUUGUUCUUUCUUUUUCGUUUCAUUUCGUCACUAGUUUUCGAGAAUCGGCGCGCACAACUCUCUCUCUCCGACGCAGGAACGCAACCUCUCCGGCGAAGUUUUUGAUGUGAAGUUCAACGAAAACGCCCCGACAUCUUUGUUCAUCUCUAGAUCUGCUCCAUCUUCGUUCAAGCAACGCUGACAUCCAUGGCGAAGCGAAAUACGAAUGAGAUUUCGGUAUUUUGCUCGAGUAUGAGACACGAGCAGCAAUUGAUAGCCCAAACAGGAAGAAGAUAUCAGAUUAUUUGUUGAUUUCACAAAUAAUCGCUCGAGUAUUGUUGUAAUUGUGCUCGAGUAUCUCUAGAUCUGCUCCAUCUUCUGUAUUGUUGUAAUUUUCUUUUUUAAUUUUCAGUAAUUUUCUCAUCUUAAGUUUCUGUAAAUCAUGUAUUGUUUUGAGUUUUUUUUUUCUGUAAACGGAUGAUUUGGAUUUUAGUUUGGACACAACACAGAUGAAUUUUUGCAAUACUAUUAAGAUUUUCAUUCUGUUUUA